ensembl:lncRNA
GAGCUGUCACCCUGGAUCAGAGCUGAGGUGAUUCAUUGGUUUAAUCCUACUGGAGCCAGAAGUAACAUUCACAUAAGAAUUUCAAUUAAAACUCAGAAGAGAUGUAAGAUAUACACUUUUAACGGGGAGGGUGAUUCGUCAUUGGGAAGGAACUAGCCUUGGAAGCAGCUAAUUUUUCAUUUGUAUUUGCAAAUUAGAACUGGAAGUCUUACUGGAAGAUAUGCUGAAGCCAAAACCAGGUUAUUGUGUUCAGUACAAGGAUAGCUGAGUGGAAUCAGAUGGCAUAUUCUUGAAGAAUGGGCUACAUGAAGAGACCAUUUUUUCAGUUCAUUUGUCCUACAUGCAGAAGAACAAAGUCCCCAGGAGCAGGACAGACCAGCUUUCAUGACAAUGCCACAGAGUUCUCUUCAAGACAAUGGCAAGAUGUUGCAGCUGAGGAUGAUUCGCUCCAAACAACCUUUUCCACAAGCAGCAGGCCUGAACAAAUGACUGUGGGAGUUUCCUGGUGUUGUAGAAACAUCCAGCUAAAGUGUACUUCAGGAAGAAUCUGCGUCAAUGCAGUCCUAAGUAAAACAACAGUAAGAAUUGCAGGCAUUUGUGCCUGAAGUUUCUAUUUGUCAGGCCACACUGGGAUAGACAAAGGUUUUUUGCUGCUGCCUCAGCAGAAAUGACUCUUGAUUCAGGGACUCUACAUACUUACUGAGAUGAGCAUCUGUUUGGAAGAGACAGUUGGUGAAAUAAUGUAUAGCAAAGGAGGUUUGCAGUGGAAGCAAGUAAUAUUUGGAGAGGAACAAGUAAAAGAAUAUUUUUUGACAAAUACCUUCCAGAUGCUGCAGCUUUCAGAUUUAUUUGCUCAUGAGAGCAUCUGUCUACACCAGUGUUUGGUCUCAAGCAGCUAAGGCUGGAUGCUGAGCUGCCUGAAGCUGGGGAAGGCAGAAGAAGCCAUUGCUCUUCAGCUGCUGCAUUCAGUGUCUUGAUAAAACUGGUAUAAACUUGAUAAAAUCCUGGCAAUUAAGAGCCUCACAGAGGCUCCCACUAAUUAAAGCAGUCAGUCAUUUUCAGUAGAAAUCAAGGCCAUUAAUGUUUUACAUUCAACCUCCCUCUUCCCCUCACUGCAGUACAGCACAGCCACGCAGAGUCAGAGCCUGCCUCUGGUGAGGCAGAGCUCUUCCUUCUCACUUCACUUCAUUUGGGAGAGCUGUUUAAAGAAUGCAAGUUUUUCAAACUGACCAUGCUUUCUACAUUUCCACAAGCAGGAGCAAACUCUUUGGUGGGGCUGCCUGACAGCUACUUCCCCUCAGGGGCACUGGCAGCAUCCCUGAGAAAGGCAGCAGAAGGUGGUGCUUUAAUGGAAAUGGAAAAUUUAAACCUGCACUGAUGCUGUUCUGGACCUGAAACUUGAGUAUUUGGGGAACUGAUAGCCUCCACACACUAAAAUAGGCAAAUCAGCAUUUUGCAACUCAGCCCCAUGCCAUUCUUGGCUGAUAAGAUUUUGGAAUACCACUUGUAACAAUGCAAACUGGACUGAAGGUCAGGCUUUGGUCCAUGCCAUGGUUCUAACUUCACCAGAGGUGGGCUUAUGUCCUCAGGGGAAUGUGAUAGAGGAAAUAAACACAGAUAUACAAUCA